GAUGAAGAACGCAGCGAAAUGCGAUAAGUAAUGUGAAUUGCAGAAUUUAGUGAAUCAUCGAAUCUUUGAACGCACAUUGCGCCCAUUAGUAUUCUAGUGGGCAUGCCUGUUCGAGCGUCAUUUCAACCCUUAAGCCUAGCUUAGUAUUGGGAAUCGACUUUACUGUCGUUCCUCAAAUUCAACGGCGGAUUUAUAGCAAUCUCUGAACGUAGUAAUUUUUUUUCUCGUUUUUGAAAUACUAUAAACCUCAGCCGCUAAACCCCCAAUUUCUUAUGGUUGACCUCGGAUCAGGUAGGAAUACCCGCUGAACUUAAGCAUAUCAAUAAGCGGAGGA
rnacentral:misc_RNA from 1 species